AUCUGGCUGACGAGUCCCAAAACGGUGCAAAACGCGCGUCCUGGAU
rnacentral:hammerhead_ribozyme from 1 species